CAGUAGCCGCGGUAAUACAGAGGGUGCGAGCGUUAAUCGGAUUUACUGGGCGUAAAGCGUGCGUAGGCGGCUUCUUAAGUCGGAUGUGAAAUCCCUGAGCUUAACUUAGGAAUUGCAUUCGAUACUGGGAAGCUAGAGUAUGGGAGAGGAUGGUAGAAUUCCAGGUGUAGCGGUGAAAUGCGUAGAGAUCUGGAGGAAUACCGAUGGCGAAGGCAGCCAUCUGGCCUAAUACUGACGCUGAGGUACGAAAGCAUGGUGAGCAAACAGGAUUAGAUACCCCCGUAGUCCCUGUCUCUUAUAC
rnacentral:rRNA from 1 species